rnacentral:rRNA from 1 species
AUUGAACGCUGGCGGCAUGCUUUACACAUGCAAGUCGAACGGUAACAGGGUGCUUGCACCGCUGACGAGUGGCGAACGGGUGAGUAAUGCGUCGGAACGCACCGAGUAAUGGGGGAUAACGCAGCGAAAGCUGUGCUAAUACCGCAUACGCUCUGAGGAGGAAAGCGGGGGACCUUCGGGCCUCGCGUUAUUCGAGCGGCCGACGUCUGAUUAGCUAGUAGGUGAGGUAAGAGCUCACCUAGGCGACGAUCAGUAGCGGGUCUGAGAGGAUGGUCCGCCACACGGGGACUGCGACACGGCCCAGACUCCGACGGGAGGCAGCAGUGGGGAAUUUUGGACAAUGGGGGCAACCCUGAUCCAGCCAUUCCGCGUGAGUGAAGAAGGCCUUCGGGUUGUAAAGCUCUUUUGUCCGGAGCGAAACGGUUGUGGUGAAUAGCCACGACUACUGACGGUACCGGAAGAAUAAGCACCGGCUAACUACGUGCCAGCAGCCGCCGUAAGAC